AGGCUGCAGAUACGUUACUUGUGCUGUGCACUCCGUCCCCUGGGAACCGUAUUGGAAUGAGAACACGAUCCAUAAAUGUACUCCAGUGACUGCUCUGCUUGAAAAUCUGAGUUUGCCUUUUAAGCCUGAUCAACUGUAAUGGUGUAUGAUAGGCCAGACAGAGCACAAGCACUAACGGCAAGCGCGAGCAGGAGGCUUCGGUUGCCCGUCUUUUCCUGUCUUUUCCCUGGUUGCCACUUUGGGAACUUCUUAGCGUCGCAGAAAUGGAGCCCCAGGAAACGUGGCAAGGCCUCUGCUGGUCCGGGAAAGCAGAUGAGGGCUGUGCCGCGGUGCCUGCAAAGCUGCGAAACAACAAUUGGAUCGUUUAUGGUGUCAUGGCCUUGGGAGUCUUGGCUGGAGAGGUGAGCUCAGCGAUGAUACACCUUUGCCACCGCGCCAGGGCAUCCUGACAAGAGGACUUUGGGAGGACACGUGACCACCCAUUUUAUGCGUGGAUCUGCCAGAGCCGCAUAUGAAGCUCCGCUGUUGGAAAAGAUAGUCACAAAGGAAAGGUGGUGUCUUUCCCACGUGCUUUAAUUAAGGAGUCUAUAUGUCUUCAUCAAAAUUGGGCCUAAAACCUUAAAUGCUUGAGGUUAAAUGCUUAAAUGCUAGGAACUUUGUGAAAGCUUCUAUAGAGGCAAAUAUAUUUAUAUAGACAAAAUAAGCCGAGUUGAAUAAUUGUUCCUUACAUUUUAUCAAGGUAGACUUCUAAGAUUCCUUGGGCAGGCAAGCCUAUGCCACACCACCUCUCAUCCUCUCCCAUCUCCUGCUCACCACUCUACACACACACACACACACACACACACACACACUGAGCCCUGAGAAUAAAACAGAGCGGUGGUAAUACUUUUACCAACAGAAAGAAGUAAAGUUUGUAAUGAUCCGGAUGGCUUCUUCAACUUUCUAUUUCACGUUACCUAUGUUGACAGAAACUGUAAUAGUUUUGCAAAUUGAACCACUUCUGAAUCUACAAAUAAAAUGAUCAAGAAAGGUAGUGGUUAGAAAAAAAGAAAAUGCAGGUUUAAUUUUUCAAAACGAGAUUUAGCUGUUGUGGUGGUAACUCAUGGUCCUAAAUUAAUACUGGGAUUUGCUCUAUUUAAAGUUUGAUUAUGAAGGUUAAAGUCUUCUGAGAUGGGUGUUUUAGAGGGUACCCCAACCAAAAGAACAGUGAGGUGAAAGUGUGAGAUUGAACAGAUGAUGCAGUCAGAGCCCCCUGGAAGUCAUGAACUUAGAAGCUCACUAUUUGGCAACUAUCAGCAUAGUAACUGAUUCAGGGAAGUGUCAUACGGGAUGCUGAAAGUGGUGGGUGAAAGUAUGAAGAGGAUUAUUAUAUGAUAUCAUAGUAUCUCUCUACAGAAUUCAUUAGAAAGGAUGAAAUAGGAAUUUGAAAGUGGAGGAACGUGGUAAAUCUCCCCUUGGCCAAGUGAUCAAAUCAACACCACCAGCAGAUCUCGUCUGUGCUUCCUGGUAUGAAGCACUGAGAAGAAUUUAGCACCCCUUCCAUGACAUUGCCACAAAAGCUCAAAAUCCAAAACUAAAUUCAGGACGAAACCUCAAGGCAACCCUAAAUGAGGGACAUUCUACAUGAUAAUUGGCUUCACUCACAAAACGUCAGGGCUACGAAAUACACAGAAAGACUCAAAUGCUGUUCCAGGUUAAAGAAAACUGGAGACAGGAUGGCUUGAACAAAGCAUGUGGCUUUGGAUUCUCUCUCUUACAAAAGGCGUGGAGUCAAUUGGCAAAAUAUUCUAUAGCUUAGCUAAUAGCACUGUCUUGGGGUUAGUCUGUCUCCUGAUCUUGUGGAUUGUAGUGUGGCUACCUAAGACAACUUCUUGCUUUUAGAAAAUACAUCUCUGCAAUUUCUCUUAAAUGACUCAGUUAAAAAGAUGGCAAAUGCUAAUAUCUAGACAAUUUGUAUACGAGAAGUCUUUGCAUUUUCCCUUCAGUCUUUCUGCAAGCCUGACAUUUAAAACAAACAACUUUUAAAAAUCAGCAAAAUAUGGACAAAAAUGCCAUUUCUUCCAGCUCACGCAGUACCAAAUAACAAGUAACUCUAACUUUUCUAACCAAAAAGCAAGUUGUUUUAGUCUCAAGUACACUCAACUUCAGGCACUGAAGGUGGAAUUUGGAAAGCAGAUCUUUUCAGAGGACCCUCUUUGCACAACCGGCUGCAAAUCAGCUUCCUGGCCUAUUUGGGCCCCAUACUUUCUCUUCUCUUCUUGCCAACACUCUGUUCCUUCUUUCAUUCAAAGGACUUUUAUGGCACAGCCUGACCCUGUAAACUGCUGGCUCUUCAGAGAGGAGCCAGACUCAGCUUCCAGUCUAUGGCACACAGAGAGAAUUCCAGUGGACUAUAUUUCAAAGUGCCACCACAGUGGAAAAACAAGGGGAGAAAAUGGUACCGUGGACAAUUUCAAGGAGGAGGCCCGAGUUGCAGGCCCCAGUCAGAGGGAGAUUGAAGACAUUGAGGGGGAGCAGGGGUGCAGUUGUAGAGGGGUCUUUCCAGGACCCGUUAUUAUGGGACGUCAGCUCAGUGGUGAGGGGUGUGACUGCCCCCCAGGCAGGGGCUGGAGCACAUCACGUUUGUCCCGCUAGAGCAUUUGAGUUCUGCAUCUUGGUGGUGGAAAACCACUGAAAGAUCAUGCUUAGAUUUACAUGUUCAAAGGGCCCUUGUUUCUCAGGCUCCCUUUGUAAUUCUUUCACUGGUCAAUUGACUUUUCCUCAGUGAAUGACUGUUUGAAGUCAGAUGCCGUACUGGUUUGAGGUACACAUGACCAAAAAAAAAUAUGAUUUUUGCUCUGAGCGUCUCCAUUCUGCAGUCUCUGUGGCUUUUUUCUUUCUGCUUUCUACCACUUAAAGGUGAGCCACAUUAAAGACCACUGUAAGUCAUA